UUCCGAUCAGUGCAACUACUAACAUUGCGGUCUAAUGAUGGAGUAUGCUAGUCAGUGCAACUAUUAACAACUCCUGAACAACUUUUAGGACCUUUAGAUCACCUUUAUAAACCCAGGGUGCAGCUUUACAGACCUCAGACUAAUUGAUUUUGUGGCCUGGGAAUGGACUGCUGGCGUGGAUUUAGCACAAAAUAGGUGUAAUUUGAAGUAUCAAUUCUAUUAGAGUUUGAGAUUGUGUAGAUUUAGUUUAUAAUUUUUUAUUAUUGUGUAAAUCACUGUACUCUGAAACAUAUUUAUAUUUAUGAAAUUUGAAAUCUUUGUUC